rnacentral:lncRNA from 1 species
CUUUUAAUGGGUACGGAAUAGUAUUUCAAACUUGUUAAAAUUUUCAUUUUUAACUGCUAAUGAGAUCAUUUUUUUUCCAUGUUGCUAUGUAUUCUUGGCGUUUCCUUCGAUGUCAACUGUCGUGUCCUUCUCUUUUGAGCACUUAUCAAGAAUUCUUAUUUUGAUCUUUAUACUUUUAAAUUGGUUCUUUGUACUUUUUCAGUACCAUUUGUCAUUUUUUCCUUUUCUUUUUAUAAUGAUUUUUAUUGUUUUCCAUUAUAGCUAAUUUACAGUGCUCCGUCAAUUUUCUGCUGCACAGCACGGUGACCCAGUCACACAUACAGGUGGAAAAACUGGUGAAGUAUUUGGACCCCAACGACCUGGGGAGAAUCAACUUCAAGGACUUCUGCCGAGGGGUGUUCGCCAUGAAAGGGUGUGAGGAGCUGCUGAAGGAUGUGCUGUCCGUGGAAAGCGCCGGGACGCUGCCCUAUGCGCCGGAGAUCCCGGACUGCGUGGAGCAGGUGAGCUGGGCGGCCGCCGCCGUGGAAGAGCUGGGGCCGGGGUUGGGGGGCGGUGUGCCGCGGAAGGGCCGGGGGCACCUACCUUGCCCUGCUUGGGCUUCUUCUUGCCUUUGCCUCACCUCUGGUGUCAGCGAGACCUCAGCGUCCCCUCUCGGCGCCCUUUGGCUUCGUCAAGGAAUCAACUUUGGGACCUGUGCAGUGUCGCCCCCUGGGAAGCCCCAGCAGAGGGCGUGGGGGCCGGGGUGCUCCCCUCUGUGGUCCCAAGGAGAAAUCGAGUCCCAGAGGGAAAGUGGCAGGCUGAGGUCAACAGCAGGCAGGGUGACAAUUUUUCUCUUUUUGUCCAGCACAGGCUGGGUGUCGAGCGAUUCAAUUCACUUCUGGCACUAACUGCCCCGAGUGUGCAGGCCCCAGGGCCAGAGCCUCAGUCCCACGAGACGGCCGCGCUUGGGGACAGCCACAAGGGGGCGCCCGCGCUACCUGCACGUCGGCCGGGCUGGCUCCACAUGCCGGGGUUCCCGCGGCCUCCCUCGGGUUCGACAGUUCAGUUGAACAACUCCCAGAGCUCCGAAAAACGUUCUAUUUACGGUUAUGGCUUUAUUAUAAGAGACGCAGUUCCGGAAAAUGCCGUGGGCAGGGGGUGGGGGAGGGGCUCUCCAGGGACCCCGCGUCCCCGCACAGCGGCGGUCCCCACCCCCGAAGCUCCCAAUCUCCUGUUCUAGUUUUUCUGACCCCACCUCCAGCGCUCUCACCUCCUGGAGGUGGGGCUGCAUGAGGCUGAAAGUUGCCGGACGCGGAAUCACCGCUUCGGUCUUCCCGGUGAGCGUCUGCAUCCGAGGCUCCCUGGGGGCCCACCUGGGUCACCUCAGGAGCCUGAACUCAGGCCGGUUUGAAAGGGGCUCCUUUCAGGAGAGUAAAAGUCGCUCCUCUCCCUCCGGAAGUCCCAAGGGGUUUAGGUGCUCUGUUCCAGGAAGUGGGAGGGGGACCACAGGCCCCCAUGGCUCUUUUACCGUCAUCAUCACCGCAUGGUUGGUUUAUGGUAAAACUUGGAUGGUUUUCCCAAACCGCGGCGGCUGCAUCCUACCAGCGCAGUUUACCACGCCUGCGCUGACCAUCCCUGGGGCCCCUUCUGGCUGAGACCCCCAGAGAAGGAAGAGGACUAUCUUGCUUUCUCACCCAGGCCAGCUCCAGAACCCCUUCUCCACCCUCUGGGUGGUGCCUCGCCUGGACCACCCCCCCGCCCCCAGACAUGAGUGUUUCCUGUAGCUGAAGGCGGCCCAGGACCCCAGGGGUCACUUUGGCCAAUGGGGCAGUGCUUGGGAUCCAGUUGGGUGCUGGGGUCAGGGCUGGGUCUGGGUGAGGGGUGACAUGCUGAGGGCCACAGGCCUCAGAGGUGCCCAGCAGAAUGGCGUUAGGAAAGGCCAAGGCUCAAAGGUGGCAGAGACCAAGCCAGGCUGUGGGGCCAUUCAGAACAGGGUCCAUGCCCUACUUUGGUCACUGACAAGCCCUGCACACCCAGGCACGUUGCUCUCAACUACUCUGAGCCUGAGUUUCCUCAGCCGUAAAGCAGGGCCCACCACACUGGCCUUAGGAAAACCCAGUGAAAGAACAGGCUGCUAGUUCACGAGAAUUCCUUUCUUCCACUUGUAUUGUCUUGGAGAUUUUGCAUGAGAGAUGGUGCUGAAGGCUGCACCUUUCUUUCACCCUUGGAUGCUGGUGUUUCAAAAUUAGGUCAAGGGGGUUCCCAUUGUGGCUCAGCGGUAAUGAACCUGACUAGUAUCUGUGAGGAUGCAGGUUCAAUCCCUGGCCUCGCUCGGUGGUUUAAGGAUCCAGCAUUGCCACAGCUCAUGACAGCUACAGCUCCAUUGUGACCCCUAGCCUGGGAACUUUUCAUAUUCCACAGGUGCUGCUGUAAAAAGCCAAAAAAAAAAA